UAUAAUAGUGAAAAGGAAAGGGAGUACAGUUGGCGCCCAAUGUUAAUCUAAAAUUAAAAAAUAUUUUUUUUUUUCGAUGGAAUACGUCCACUCAAGUAUUGCAGGUACACCGUCAAUGUGGGCGAUAGCUAUUUUAGUAUACAUAUAUUCGGUUUCAUAACGACUUACGACGUUGUCCGACUCCCAAACGCCACUGUAUUCUGUCCUGAGUUAGGUCUUCAUUUAGAUUUCGAGCGCUAAUCGCUUUCCUAACUCCCAGAUUCCAGCUCUGUGGUGGUCUUCCUCGUUUUUUCUUCUCUGGGGAUUGCCACAUUAUAGUUUUUUUAGGUAGUUUAGUAAGUUGGUUAAUUCAUGCAAUGAUAUAAAUUCGAAGACAACGUCGUUAGACCACUCCAUAGCAAAAUUAUCACGGCACUGAUCGUACCAGUCCCUAGCCGAUCGAAAGGGUUGGAGAGGUACGUACCUAGUCUGUAUCAGCUUCUGACUUCCUUUAGAUCUUGAUCAUGUACCGACAAAGGAUGAGAGACUUCGCGCCGAUCCAUAAAUAUAGGGUUCGGUCCUAGCUUAAGGGCCGUAAACCACAAAUUUUGAGGGAAAUUACGCUAUUUCACGUUACAUUGACUCCCGUCUUUAGUUUUUAUCUUAUUCUAUUACAUAUUUUAUAUUUCUCGUGGCGUGCCGCUCAACGUUCCGUUGGACCCCAGCUUAAUACGUUCUUGUAACCAUUCAAACAGUGGCGUAAUUAGAAAAACUUGUUAUUAGUUUUCUCUAUUCAUCCUUAUUCCUGUAGGUACUUCCUGCUAUUUUGUGAUUCUUGCUCAACUACGCUACUAUUUGCGUACAAGGUGUUUUAAAAUACUAUCUGAUCUAUGUAUCAAUAUCAGUCUUUCUUUGAUUUGUAUUUGACCCAAAAAAA
rnacentral:lncRNA from 1 species